UCAUGCAUUUGGUAGAUUUGUCAGGCUGAAUUAUGUAUUUUCGUGGUAUUAGACUUUUGAGGAUUGGUUUCAAUAUAGCAUAAUCUGCUAAUUGUUCUUUACAUUUAAUAUUGCAUUCAUGGUUUUGGGUUUUCAGUUAUAACCAGCAUGAACUGCAUUCACCUGAGAGAUGUAUGAUUGACAGUGUGGAGUUCAGUCCCUCAGACUUGAACGUGUUCUCUCUCUUAUAUUAUACGGAUUACGUUCAUUUAAACUAUUGGAACUAAAUGUUUAUGUAACUGAAACAGUGCAAUAAAGACUAAAAACGAACCCGUGCUUUUCUAACAUUCCUAUAAGAACUAUUUGAUAAGCUUGGAAAGUUUAGACUGGUAAUAUUGGCGCCCAACGAGGGAAAGAAAGAAAGAAGAAACUGAUGAGAGAGACAGAGAAGACCACCAGAUAGGUACAGAGAUUACCAGAUGAACCAGAUGGUUCAGAGACGACCUGAUUCAAGGAUUGAAGCUCUUGAAAUUUUAGCACAGUCAGGAGCAUUGAGGAACUUGGAUUUGAUUGUGGCACAGAAGGUGAUAGAGUCUCUGAUGAAGUAGAUUAAAAUGAGAUUACUGGAGCUAUUGAACCAAUUUUAUGUUUUAUUGACACAUGUUUUUAUCAAAAUCUUGGUUAAUUCAUGAGUGAAACGAACUGUUGACAUGCAGAUUAGAUUGCGAUGACGCAAUUUUAAAGGAGGCGAGAUGUAAGACUAACAUUUUAAUGGUUGGGUUAAAUUUAUCAGCUAUAUGAAUGUAUUUUUUGGUAAAAAUGAAAUACUGGUUGAUUACUGGUAGAUUUGAACCCGCUGUAAUUUAGAUAAGUACGUUUAUAGGGUUGAUUAAGUAUUUUAAACCACUAAAGUACUCUAGUAAAUACUUAUGGCCAGCUAGUGUUGUAGUGUUAUUACUAAAGUAGUAGUGAUUGUUAGGCAGAACGACGAGCCUAGAGUGAAUGACGAGACGUCAUUUUUCGGAGAAGGGAAGUAUGUAGCCCAGUUGAAAUUCUGAGAGUUUAAGGGAGACAAUUCAUGCAGAUUGAUUUUACUUUUUAUACAAGUUAUUGGUUAUUGUUUCCCUUAGACCAUUAUAUGUUAUAUGGUUGAGUGAUUUCUUUGAAAUUGGUCAGGUGACUGUAAUUAUCAUUGUUGCAAAGAUUUUCCCUCCAUUGUUGAAAACGUUUGAGAAGUUCUGGAAGCUUUUAAUUUGAUUUGGUCGAGGUAAA